UUUUAGGGUUGCGCUGCGAUGCGGUGAGAGUAGGGCAUCACCGCACCUCCGCGAGUGAGAGAUCCGAGCGCGAUAGGGAGACGACAAGGCGCCGAGCUACGGCUGCAGCUGGCAGUGAGCGUGCCUUCCUUCGUCGGAUGUCUCUGAUCCUAUUCGUUCAAUCGAGUUCUGAUACUGGUUCUGAAUGAUGGAUGGUAAUUCCCACGGUGUCAAUGGCUUGAUAGAGCAGCAUGUGGAUCUCGAGGAUGAUAGCAUAAACUUCUGGACAACAUUGGGUGUCAGUCCUCAUGUCCAUGUUGUGGAACCUGAGCAUCAUCUUGUGCCUCAGCAUCAACACCACCACAUAGAGCAGCAGCAACAGCAACAACAACAGCAGCCUCUUGAACUGGUGGAGCAGUCAGUCCGAAGAGAGCUUUUUGCAGUGGAAGGGGAUCCAAGGAUAGAACCAUUUGUUGGUAUGGAGUUUGAAUCUGGGGAGGCUGCAAAGACGUUCUAUAUAGCUUAUGCUGGACGUGUGGGCUUCUCUGUUCGUAUUGCCAGGUCACGACGGUCGAAAUGCAAUGAGUCCAUCAUCAUGCUGCGAUUUGUGUGCUCGAGAGAAGGUUUCAGCAGAGAGAAGCGCAUCAUUGCUGGCAAGAAGACAAGGAAGCGGGCUGCUUCCAUCAGAGAAGGGUGUAAGGCUAUGCUCGAGGUGAUUCGAAGAGGCGAUGAGAGGUGGGUCGUGACGAAGCUUGUGAAGGAGCAUAAUCAUGAGGUCGGUAUGCCAAGCAGGGUGCAUUACAUUGCCACGGAGGGAGAUGCUGUGAUGGAUCCAUAUAUUGGGAUGGAGUUUGAAUCUCUUGAAGUUGCCAAGACAUUUUAUUAUGCGUAUGCAAGCCGUGUGGGCUUUGAAGCUCGUGUUCGACAGUCACGCCGUUCUUUGCAUGAUGAAUCACUUAAAAUGUUGAAACUUGUUUGCUCAAAGCAUCGCUACCAUUCAGGAAGGGAUAAUGGUAGUGAUGAAAACAAGAGGGUGCAGAAUCAAGAUCCAUCCAAAGAAGGUUGUGAUGCAUUAUUUGAGAUAAUUCGGAAAGAUUCUGACAUUUGGAUCGUUUCCAAACUCGUGCUGGAGCAUAAUCAUGAACUGAAACCUUCUCCGCCAAGCAAGGUUCGAUGCAUCCGCUCUCAAGGAGAGAUACUAGUUAUUGCGAAAAACUUUGCUGAUACCCGCAAUCUUCUAUUAAAUGGCCAAGGCUCGCAGUAUCCUAGAGAGAUUCGAUAUAAUGAUUUUGGGCCAGAUGAUGCUCAAAGUCUGCUUGAAUACUUUAAGAAAACACAAAUAGAGAACCCUGCCUUUUAUUAUGCAGUGCAUAUUGAAAACAAUAAUUGCAUGACCAACAUCUUCUGGGCUGAUUCUAAAGCUCGUAUGGCUUACUACUACUUUGGUGAUGCUGUUAGGUUUGAGACAAAAUACAGAAAUGACAAGGAGCUAAUGCCUAUUGUUAUGUUCACAGGUGUUAACCAUCAUUUACAACCAGUAGUUUUUGGAUGUGCCCUGCUUGUAGAUGAGACAGAGGCAUCAUUUGCCUGGCUUUUCGAGAAUUGGCUUGCAGCGAUGCCUGCACUGCCUCCUGUAUCAUUGAUUACUGAACUAAACAGGACGAUUACAUCAGCAGUUGCUAAGGCAUUGCCACAAACUCGUCAUUGUUUUUGCAAGGCACAUGUCUUAAGUACCAUCCAAGAUGAAUUGCCUGAUUUGUUUUCAGAACAUGUUCCUUUUGAAGGAGAAUUGAAAACAUGCAUUGAUGAGUCUGAAACAACCGAAUUAUUUGAAUCAUGCUGGGUUGCAUUGAUAAAUAAGUAUGGUCUGAAGGAGAAUGCUUAUAUGCAGUCAUUAUACAAUAUACGUCAGCAGUGGGUCCCUGUCUUUGUAAAGCAAACCUUCCUUGCAGAAGUCCCUGGAUCACAAAGAUGUGGAAACUUUGACAAAGUUAUCGAAAAAUAUUUCACAACAAAGACCCUUCUACGGGUGGCUGUUAGGCAACUAUCUCAGAUGCUUGCAAGUCAGUAUGAAAAAGAAGCGCAAGCAGAGUUUGUUACAUUGUUUGAGAAACCAUUUUUGAGGACUGCUUCACCAAUGGAAAAGCAGGCAGCUGGUAUCUACACGAGAUCAAUUUUUGACAGGUUUCAAGAGGAAUUUGUUGAAUCUUUGGGUUAUCAUGUGGAUAAAAUAGAGGAUGGGCCUAUUAGCAAAUAUAGAGUGAUGAGAAAUGAGGAAGAUGAUGAAGCAUACAGUGUUUAUUUCAAUGUCACUGAGAACAAAGCACACUGUGGUUGUUGUAUGUUUGAGUUUUCUGGCAUUCUGUGUAGACAUGCGCUAAGAGUCUUUAUAGUUAAUGGUGUUCGCACACUCCCAAAUGAUUACAUCUUAAAACGGUGGACAAAACAUGCUAAGAGUGGUUCUGUCUUAGAUGACUAUGGUAUUGAACUCAGAGGUUACUCUGAUGACCCUUCAAUAGCACGAUAUAAUGAUCUCUGUCGUGAUGCCAUACGAUGUGCCAGAGAGGGGGCAACGUCCACUGAAUUUUAUACUGUUGCGAAGGACUCUCUCCAGAAGGCUGUAAAUGAGAUAGUGUCAACAAAGCAAAAGAGAGGGCAGCAAACACUGCAGAGUUUUAUUGCUUCACAGAAGAAGCAAACUAAAAAGGUUGCGAAGAUCACUCCUAGUAAAGAUGCUUCCAGCAAGAACUUGAGGAAGCUAACAUCGAUAAAACUGCUGUCUGAGAAUGACAUCAGAUGAUACAGUGUGACACAGAGCGUUCUAAAUUCUAAUGAUUGUCACGGUACAGGCCUCAAAAGUUGAAUGAAGUGUUUGUUGCUUUCAUGGGACGAUUCAACUUUUCUUGCUUUCUUGGAAUGCUGAGCCUCACUGGCAGUGGUCCAGUUUAUUAAAUUGCAAUAUAUCUGUCAAGGUGUCACCUUGUAGAAAACUAUUACUCGUGAAGCGUGUCUAUCGACAUUGUGAAACUAGACUCCUCUCUGUUCUUACUAGAAGCUGCUAUAUAUAUAUGUAGGUUUUGGCCGAAAGUGAUCACUGUAGUUAGCCCUUAGAGUUACACGGUUGCUAUUCUGAUUCAUUAAUCUUGUACCAGAGUGUGUGAUGUGUUUUGGUUGAAUUAAUUCUUUGCUCCUUGUGGCACAUGGUGAUAGUUUCUUCUCUGCAUAUUCAUACUCAGCCAAGGUUCUGUUCUGAAAACCAUUACUCAUGCAACCAAUGAUAGAUGGAGAUGUUUUAAUCAAGGAUCAUCGCCAUUUUAA